UCCUUAUUCUUGUUCAUCU
rnacentral:snRNA from 1 species